rnacentral:rRNA from 1 species
GGGGGCAUGCCUAAUACAUGCAAGUCGAACGAAAAAUAUAUAGAUGCUUGCAUUUAGAUAUUUUUAGUGGCGAACGGGUGAGUAAUAUAUAGAUAACCUACCUUUAAGUUGGGGAUAACAGAGGGAAACUUUUGCUAAUACCGAAUAAAAUAAUUAGACGCAUGUUUAAUUAUUAAAAGGGGCUUCAAAGCCCCGCUCUAAGAGGGGUCUAUAUCGCAUUAGCUAGUUGGUAAGAUAACAGCCUACCAAGGCUAUGAUGCGUAGCUGUACUGAGAGGUAGAACAGCCACAUUGGGACUGAGAUACGGCCCAAACUCCUACGGGAGGCAGCAGUAGGGAAUUUUCGGCAAUGGGGGGAACCCUGACCGAGCAAUGCCGCGUGAUUGAAGAAGAUCUUCGGAUCGUAAAGAUCUGUUAUUAGGGAAGAAUGGAAUUGAUAGGAAAUGAUCAAUUUAUGACGGUGCCUAAUGAGGAAGCCCCGGCUAACUAUGUGCCAGCAGCCGCGGUAAUACAUAGGGGGCGAGCGUUAUCCGGAAUUAUUGGGCGUAAAGGGUACGUAGGCGGGCCUGCAAGUCUGAUUUGAAAGCACACGGCUUAACCGUGUGAGGUAAUUAGAAACUACAGGUCUAGAGAGUGGUAGAGGUAAAUGGAAUUCCAAGUGGAGCGGUGAAAUGCAUAGAUAUACCACAGAACACCGGUGGCGAAGGCGACUUUCUGGCUGACAACUGACGCUGAGGCGCGAAAGCGUGGGGAGCAAACAGGAUUAGAUACCCUGGUAGUCCACGCCGUAAACGAUGAUUACUGGGUGUAGGGGGUAUCGACUCCCUCUGUGCCGAAGCAAACGCGAUAAGUAAUCCACCUGGGGAGUACGGCCGCAAGGCUAAAACUCAAAGGAAUUGACGGGGGCCCGCACAAGCAGUGGAGUAUGUGGUUUAAUUCGAGGCAACGCGAAGAACCUUACCAGGGUUUGACAUCCCGCGCAAUAGGUAGAGAUACUUAGUUCCCUUCGGGGACGCGGAGACAGGUGGUGCAUGGUUGUCGUCAGCUCGUGUCGUGAGAUGUUCGGUUAAGUCCGGCAACGAGCGCAACCCUCGUGGCCAGUUGCCAUCAUUUAGUUGGGCACUUUGGCCAGACUGCCGUUGACAAAACGGAGGAAGGUGGGGAUGACGUCAAAUCAUCAUGCCCCUUAUGUCCUGGGCUACACACGUACUACAAUGGGCGUUACAACGGGCAGCCACACCGCGAGGUGGAGCGAAUCCCCAAAGGCGUCCUCAGUUCGGAUUGCAGGCUGCAACUCGCCUGCAUGAAGCCGGAAUUGCUAGUGAUGGCAGGUCAGCAUACUGCCGUGAAUACGUUCCCGGGCCUUGUACUCACCGCCCGUCA